rfam:Oryza glaberrima chromosome 7 Oglab07_0141_27, whole genome shotgun sequence.
AAAAAGACAAAUCCUGGUUUUCAUGCCCAACGUUUGACCGUCCGUCUUAUUUAAAAAAAAUAUGAAAAAAAUUAAAAAGACAAGUCACACAUAAAGUAUUAAUAAUAUUUUUUUAUUUAAAAGAAUUAUAAAAAAAAUUUCAUACAAGACGGACAGUCAAAGUUGGACACAAAAAUAUAGGGUUUGUUUUUUU